GUCCGGAUGGCGCAGUGGUCAGCCCAUCUGCCUCGUAAGCAGAAGACCUGGGUUCGAAUCCAGUCCGGCACA